rnacentral:rRNA from 1 species
GGCGAGGGGUCCAAGCGUUGUUCGGAAUCAUUGGGCGUAAAGCGGGUGUAGGCGGCUCUAUAAGUCAGAAGUGAAAUCCCCGAGCUUAACUUGGGAAGUGCUUUUGAUACUGCAGAGCUUGAGUGUGGGAGAGGGUAGUGGAAUUCCAGGUGUAGUGGUGAAAUACGUAGAUAUCUGGAGGAACACCGGUGGCGAAGGCGGCUACCUGGACCAGCAUUGACACUGAGACCCGAAAGCAUGGGGAUCAAACAGG